GGCCCUUCAUACCCACCUAGAGGAGCCUGUUCUAGAACCGAUAACCCCCGUUUAACCUCACCUUUCCUUGCCCCCAGCCUAUAUACCGCCGUCGUCAGCCCACCCUGUGAAGGCCUUAAAGUGAGCAAAAGUAGUCCCCCUCAAAACGUCAGGUCGAGGUGUAGCUUAUGGAAAGGAAGUAAUGGGCUACAAUUGUUUUUCAACUAACACGAAUUGUAUGCUGAAACCACAUACAUGAAGGAGGAUUUAGGAGUAAGAAGAGAUUAGAGCGCUCUUCUGAAACGGCCCUGAAGUGUGCACACACCGCCCGUCACUCUCCCCGAACAUUUUUAAAAUAUAACUAAUACAAGUUCCUCACGAAGGGGAGACAAGUCGUAACAAGGUAGGAGUACCGGAAGGUGCUCCUGAAAUA
rnacentral:rRNA from 1 species